rnacentral:rRNA from 1 species
AACGUAGGUGGCGAGCGUUAUCCGGAUUUACUGGGCGUAAAGCGUGUGCAGGCGGGGGUCCAAGUGGGGUAUGAAAUUUCCCAGCUUAACUGGGAGAGGUUAUGCCAGACUGGAGUUCUAGAGUGCGAGAGAGGGGCGUGGAAUUCCGGGUGUAGUGGUGAAAUGCGUAGAGAUCCGGAAGAACCCCAGAGGCGAAGGCGGCGCCCUGGCUCGCAACUGACGCUCAGACACGACAGCAUGGGGAGCGAACGGG